rnacentral:rRNA from 1 species
CAAGUCGAACGGUAACAUUUCUAGCUUGCUAGAAGAUGACGAGUGGCGGACGGGUGAGUAAUGCUUGGGAACUUGCCUUUGCGAGGGGGAUAACAGUUGGAAACGACUGCUAAUACCGCAUAAUGUCUUCGGACCAAACGGGGCUUAGGCUCCGGCGCAAAGAGAGGCCCAAGUGAGAUUAGCUAGUUGGUAAGGUAACGGCUUACCAAGGCGACGAUCUCUAGCUGUUCUGAGAGGAAGAUCAGCCACACUGGGACUGAGACACGGCCCAGACUCCUACGGGAGGCAGCAGUGGGGAAUAUUGCACAAUGGGGGAAACCCUGAUGCAGCCAUGCCGCGUGUGUGAAGAAGGCCUUCGGGUUGUAAAGCACUUUCAGUUGUGAGGAAAAGUUAGUAGUUAAUACCUGCUAGCCGUGACGUUAACAACAGAAGAAGCACCGGCUAACUCCGUGCCAGCCGC